GCCACCACUGAACGGUCGCUAGUCACAACCAGGCGUCUCCAUCAGCGCGCGCGUCACAAGAACGUCACAGCGGUGCAAAGCGGCGGUACACACAUUUUCGGAAGCGUCCAGCGUAUAAUCCGCUUGUGGUUGCUGCUCCUUAUCAACAGAGCUCAUCGUUGGUCAAUUCAACAAAGCGCAUUAAAAUUCAUCGCAUCACUCGUGGUCGGAAAUGUUCAAAUUACGACAAACAAGUUUAAAUUCGCAGACAGUGCUUCCGCGACCGGCCGCUUUUUUAUUCCCGAGAAGAAGAAAAAAAACCAUUUUCAAGGAAAACCCUUAUGUGCCUUGAAUGAAAUGCUUCUCACGUUUUUGCCUUUCUUCCAACCGGACGUACGAAUCAAUCGAACGAGAGCUGUUGGGUAGUAGCAUUCUAUUGACUGGUUGCUUUCGUGAGGGAAAAUUGAUUCGUCCAAAUAAGCUAGCACAUUGGUUGGAAAAUAACAAUGUGUGGGUUUGCUAUUGAAGUUCAACAACGAAUAAACUCCCAAAGAAUGUAGAUUCUGUUUGAGAACGUAUGAA